AAGCCGUUAUGUGGCCAAUCUCUUACCAGCCUCUUAAACCUCGCCCAGGCGUCACUAAGCAAUUCAUCAAUAUCCUGUUCGAAAUUAGUGAUCAACUUUCUUCUUCU